rnacentral:rRNA from 1 species
GAUCGAAUGGGGUGAUUCAACGCUGGCUGCGUCAGCUCCCGUGCGGCGCGCGAUGCGCGAGGGUUCGCUCUCGUCGCACGCGUCCGCUGCGGUGAGACCGAUUACGCCGGUGUGCACUUCUCCCCUAGUAGGACGUCGCGACCCGUUGGGUAUCGGUCUACGGUCCGGCAUGGUCGACUGUCGCGUAACGUGAAAACGAGCACACGGCAGACCGUCGGUGACCCAGCCGAUUGCCCGGCGGUAAUUGAUUGCUCUCAUUGAGGUAAUGGGCCGCAUUAAGUGCGUCAAGGCUCGUAGGCAGGCUCGUCUCGCUCGGUUAUCACGGACUAUGCGCCGUUGCCGAGCGCUUGACGUGGCUGUUCGUCUACGAUGUCCUCUGACUGGCUCUUGCGUUCGAACGGACGUACCGGUCGGCGACGCU